rnacentral:rRNA from 1 species
UACGAAGGGUGCAAGCGUUACUCGGAAUUAUUGGGCGUAAAGGGCGCGUAGGCGGUCUGGCAAGUGGAAGGUGAAAUCCCUCGGCUCAACUGAGGAACUGCCUUCCAUACUGCUGGACUUGAGUCCGGGAGAGGUGAGUGGAAUUCCCAGUGUAGCGGUGAAAUGCGUAGAUAUUGGGAGGAACACCAGUGGCGAAGGCGGCUCACUGGACCGGAACUGACGCUGAGGCGCGAAAGCGUGGGGAGCAAACAGG